CUUCCUUAAGUGACACUGCUGAAUUGUCAGAUUUCUCUAGGUCCAAAAUUUUUAUUAGGCACAAAUAUGCCUCUGAAUAUGCAUUCCUUUUAAGUAGCACCUGAUUGAGUUAUUGUGGCUAUACUGAUGUGAUUUGGAAGGAGCCAAGACCUUGUAGAGUGACUAGCCGCUGUUGCCACCAAAAUUCUAAUUUAAAUUGCUUGAAAUUCUACUUGAUAUCUCCCAAAGUAGAUAGCCAUGGCACCCCUAAAAUCAUGUCACACCCACUAAGAGG
rnacentral:lncRNA from 1 species